AGAUAAAGUGACGCGCGGGUGACCUGGGAGCUUGGAGGCUUGAGCUCUGGAGGCUCCAUCCUUCAAUAGCACUUAUCUACCCAACAACCGGGCUGGGGGAGCAGUAGUGUCUCCAUGGCAUAAACGAAGAAACUGUGACUCAGAGAGGCUGAGUAAACUGCUUGAUGCCGUACAGCUACAUACAGUGAUUAAUGUGAGAUACAGACUUGGAUUUGUCUGGCUCCAAAAUCUCUGUUCCUUCCUUGACAAUAAAACAAAGGAGAAGAAGAGCGAGAGAUACAUUACUGGCAUCAUCACUGAACUCCUCUGAACUCCAUUCUCAUAGGGAAGUGAUAACGUGAUGGUACGUCUAGAUGGCCAGGUGAAAACCGAGCACUGCUGAGCGAGCCCCAAGGAAAAGUGCAGCCUCCACACGAAGUUUUAUUAUUGGCUUCUGAGGAAGUGAAUGCUCUUCAUGAUCCACAUUGAUCCAAGUCUACCAUUUUAUCUAUGAACCAGCUCAAAAGUUACCUCUGCCUAAAUGCCUUACCUGACCAGUUCAACUCCAGCCUGUUUACCUGUUUACAGAAAGUUCUUUCACUACUUAUAUGUGAUGUGUACUAUAUUAUUUCAACAUUCAGAAAUUUACUUAUUCAUUCAGCAAAUAUUUACUACGUUCAAGCCCAGUGUUAUGCAAUGCGAAGUUGCAAAGAUGCCUCAGACACAUCAUGUCUUCAAGAAAUGUAUAGUAUUUAGAAGGAAAGCAUACAUACACAUAUCUGGCAGUAUUAGUGAGUACCACAGGUAGUAGUAAUAAGUACCACAAAAAUGUACAGACAGAAUAAUACAGGAGCUCAGAGGAAAGAGAACCUAUUUUAAGCUGAGGCUUCUUGGAUUAGGUUGCCGUUUGAAUGGGGCCUUAAUGGGCAGAUAGAAUUUGAACACCUGUUAACUUAUUGCUUUGUGUUAUUUCCAUUGUAGACUACAUAGCAUAUCUACAUGAAUAGCAUCAGCUUUUUCCUCACUGAAGACUUCAGUGAGGAAUAAGCAAGGCUUUGCAGUGCCCUCAAAGAAAAUAUACUCCACAGAGCAUAAGGUGGGUUUUACAUCACACAUUAAAAGAGCAUCUUU